AUUGCCCUAGUAACGGCGAGUGAAGCGGCAACAGCUCAAAUUUGAAAGCUAGCCUUCGGGUUCGCAUUGUAAUUUGUAGAGGAUGAUUUGGGGAAGCCGCCUGUCUAAGUUCCUUGGAACAGGACGUCAUAGAGGGUGAGAAUCCCGUAUGUGACAGGAAAUGGCACCCUAUGUAAAUCUCCUUCGACGAGUCGAGUUGUUUGGGAAUGCAGCUCUAAAUGGGAGGUAAAUUUCUUCUAAAGCUAAAUAUUGGCGAGAGACCGAUAGCGCACAAGUAGAGUGAUCGAAAGAUGAAAAGCACUUUGGAAAGAGAGUUAAAAAGCACGUGAAAUUGUUGAAAGGGAAGCGCUUGCAAUCAGACUUGUUUAAACUGUUCGGCCGGUCUUCUGACCGGUUUACUCAGUUUGGACAGGCCAGCAUCAGUUUCGGCGGCCGGAUAAAGGCUCUGGGAAUGUGGCCUCCACUUCGGUGGAGGUGUUAUAGCCCAGGGUGUAAUACGGCCAGCCGGGACUGAGGUCCGCGCUUCGGCUAGGAUGCUGGCGUAAUGGUUGUAAGCGACCCGUCUUGAAACACGGGACCA
rnacentral:rRNA from 1 species